UACUAUUGCAAAAUAAGAAUUGGCCCAACCUUCUUCAAGAUAAUAAACGGGUAGAUGCAGGGAUGCAGGGCAACAACAAAAAAAUAUUUCAUUUUCCAGAAAAAGCGCUAAAAUGACAGCAUGAAGAUGAAGUUAAACUCUUACCUGAAUGGGAAUAGCUGUGGUGGUUGUUUUUUUUGGUCAACAAGCUCAUUUAGCGGCAGAUGGAGUUGAGGAGGAGAUGGUUGACCUGUUCGCUGCUUUGACGGAAUGGGCAAGUGCUUGGGGAUUGCAAAAGGGGCCCGAUUCAAUUGCCUGCAACCUAUGAUGAAGAACACAGUGGUGAUGGCAAAUUCGGCUUAAUCGACGAUACUCAACGUCGGCUUUGGAGAUGCACUCAUUUGGCGAAAGACAACCUGUCGACGACGGGUGUUGAGGGGCCGCCGGAGGUGGAGAUGAAUCUGUCGACUUUUGGUUGGGUUUUUGAAGUGAAGAAUACAAUUUUCACGACCGGCCGUUUUGGAGAGGUAGUUGUAUUAGGUUUGAAAUUGGGGAUUGUUGGGAAGACGUAAUGGAUUGGGGUUUCCCCUUUUUUUUUUUGAAGAAGGUCCCUUUCCACGUUGGCCUUGUAAAACCUC
rnacentral:lncRNA from 1 species